rnacentral:misc_RNA from 1 species
GAUGAAGAACGUAGCGAAAUGCGAUAAGUAGUGUGAAUUGCAGAAUUCAGUGAAUCAUCGAAUCUUUGAACGCACAUUGCGCCCUUUGGUAUUCCUUAGGGCAUGCCUGUUCGAGCGUCAUUUAAACCUUCAAGCCCUGCUUGGUGUUGGGUGCCUGUCCCGCCCCCGCGCGUGGACUCACCUCAAAUCCAUUGGCGGCCCCCGCAAGGCCACGAGCGCAGCAGAAACGCAAACUCGUGUGCCCGGCGGGCGGCUCCCAGAAGCUACACCCACCAUUUUGACCUCGGAUCAGGUAGGGAUACCCGCUGAACUUAAGCAUAUCAAAAGCGGAGGA